AGAGUUUGAUCCUGGCUCAGGACGAACGCUGGCGGCGCGCCUAACACAUGCAAGUCGAACGAGCGAGAGAGAGCUUGCUUUCUCGAGCGAGUGGCGAACGGGUGAGUAACGCGUGAGGAACCUGCCUCAAAGAGGGGGACAACAGUUGGAAACGACUGCUAAUACCGCAUAAGCCCACGGGUCGGCAUCGACCAGAGGGAAAAGGAGCAAUCCGCUUUGAGAUGGCCUCGCGUCCGAUUAGCUAGUUGGUGAGGUAACGGCCCACCAAGGCGACGAUCGGUAGCCGGACUGAGAGGUUGAACGGCCACAUUGGGACUGAGACACGGCCCAGACUCCUACGGGAGGCAGCAGUGGGGAAUAUUGCACAAUGGGGGAAACCCUGAUGCAGCGACGCCGCGUGGAGGAAGAAGGUCUUCGGAUUGUAAACUCCUGUUGUUGAGGAAGAUAAUGACGGUACUCAACAAGGAAGUGACGGCUAACUACGUGCCAGCAGCCGCGGUAAAACGCAGGUCACAAGCGUUGUCCGGAAUUACUGGGUGUAAAGGGAGCGCAGGCGGGAAGACAAGUUGGAAGUGAAAUCCAUGGGCUUAACCCAUGAACUGCUUUCAAAACUGUUUUUCUUGAGUAGUGCAGAGGUAGGCGGAAUUCCCGGUGUAGCGGUGGAAUGCGUAGAUAUCGGGAGGAACACCAGUGGCGAAGGCGGCCUACUGGGCACCAACUGACGCUGAGGCUCGAAAGUGUGGGUAGCAAACAGGAUUAGAUACCCUGGUAGUCCACACCGUAAACGAUGAUUACUAGGUGUUGGAGGAUUGACCCCUUCAGUGCCGCAGUUAACACAAUAAGUAAUCCACCUGGGGAGUACGACCGCAAGGUUGAAACUCAAAGGAAUUGACGGGGGCCCGCACAAGCAGUGGAGUAUGUGGUUUAAUUCGACGCAACGCGAAGAACCUUACCUGAUCUUGACAUCCCGAUGACCGCUUCGUAAUGGAGGUUUUUCUUCGGAACAUCGGUGACAGGUGGUGCAUGGUUGUCGUCAGCUCGUGUCGUGAGAUGUUGGGUUAAGUCCCGCAACGAGCGCAACCCCUAUCUUCAGUAGCCAGCAGGUUAAGCUGGGCACUCUGGAGAGACUGCCAGGGAUAACCUGGAGGAAGGUGGGGAUGACGUCAAAUCAUCAUGCCCCUUAUGACCAGGGCUACACACGUGCUACAAUGGCGUAAACAAAGAGAAGCGAACUCGCGAGGGUAAGCAAAUCUCAAAAAUAACGUCUCAGUUCGGAUUGUAGUCUGCAACUCGACUACAUGAAGCUGGAAUCGCUAGUAAUCGCAGAUCAGAAUGCUGCGGUGAAUACGUUCCCGGGUCUUGUACACACCGCCCGUCACACCAUAGGAGUCAGUAACGCCCGAAGUCAGUGACCCAACCGUAAGGAGGGAGCUGCCGAAGGUGGGACCGAUAACUGGGGUGAAGUCGUAACAAGGUA
rnacentral:rRNA from 1 species